rnacentral:rRNA from 1 species
UGAUGGCCUACCAAGGCGACGACGGGUAACCGGCCUGAGAGGGCGACCGGUCACACUGGGACUGAGACACGGCCCAGACUCCUACGGGAGGCAGCAGUGGGGAAUAUUGCGCAAUGGGCGGAAGCCUGACGCAGCGACGCCGCGUGGGGGAUGACGGCCUUCGGGUUGUAAACCUCUUUCAGCAGGGACGAAGGGUGACUGACGGUACCUGCAGAAGAAGCGCCGGCUAACUACGUGCCAGCAGCCGCGGUAAUACGUAGGGCGCAAGCGUUGUCCGGAAUUAUUGGGCGUAAAGAGCUCGUAGGCGGUUUGUCGCGUCUGUCGUGAAAGCCCACGGCUUAACCGUGGGUCUGCGGUGGAUACGGGCAGACUAGAGGCAGGUAGGGGAGAAUGGAAUUCCCGGUGUAGCGGUGAAAUGCGCAGAUAUCGGGAGGAACACCGGUGGCGAAGGCGGUUCUCUGGGCCUGUACUGACGCUGAGGAGCGAAAGCGUGGGGAGCGAACAGGAUUAGAUACCCUGGUAGUCCACGCCGUAAACGUUGGGCGCUAGGUGUGGGGUUCUUCCACGGAUUCCGCGCCGUAGCUAACGCAUUAAGCG